UCAACUGGAUUCGUUUCACACUUCCACUCGAGGUGUCUGGUGAUGAGUGGGGGCAUCUGGAAGGCUUCAGGUGGCACGCUGGUUGUUCUUCGGGCGGGUACGUUCUCGCGACCUGUGGGAGGAGGUGCAGCCCGGACAGGUUCCAGACCCCGCGGGGGACUGCUUCCGGCGCUUUGGAGGACCCGCCUUUCUCGCCUCCCUCGGCGCCGCUCGCAGGGCCGCUGUCCCCACGCGUGCACCACGUGCUGUCCCCCUUCCGGGCGGAUCGGUGCCUGGGGUCCUAAAUCUUUCGGCCCGCACGUGCUUCCCUGGAAGUGGGAGUGGCGCCUGCGGCGUCGGCAGUGGACACGCACACUGGAAGUGAGGGGGUUUCCCGGAGCAGAACCUGGUACCGGGGGUAGCAAGGCUGCCGGCCUGGGUGGAUGGGAGGGACCCCCUUUCCCUCCACCUGGUCCGGGUGCAGUCAUGAUGCGUUUACGCGGGCUCCGCACAAGUAUUCGUUGGGUGAAUACAUUUGUAGGGUAGGACUGCAGAGACUACGAAUUCAAGUUUUUUGUCUUUUUGAGACAGAGUCUCGCUAUGCAAUUUCAGGCUGACCUUCAGCUCACUUUGUAGCCGAGGCUGGUCUCAAAUUUGCAACGUUUCUUCUGUCUCAGGCUCCCGAGUGCUGGAAUUACAGACGUGUGCCACCAUGCCCGGCUAACAGCGAAUUCUAGAACAUGAGCUAAUUUUAUUUUUAACAAACAGUGCAUUGGGACCCUUAAAGAAGCCAUCGGUAACCACUAGUAUUUUAGCAAAGGCUGUUUGGGCCAUAAAUUACCCUCCAGGCAGUGUUUCUUAAUUUAUCACUUGGGUCAAACCGGGAAUUAAGUUCCCUCCUUUGCCCCCAGCAAAAUUUACUAACUUGUAAAACUACAUCACGUUCUACAUUCCAAGCUGUCACACCACUAAAUGGGGGAGGAGAAGUCGUCAACUAGGGGAAAGUUACUUUAACUAAAGCCCAAAAUUUUCUUUCUUUUUUUUUUUUAAAGUAUAUUUAAAGUAUAUAAGUAUAUAUAUAUAUAUAUAUAUAUAUGUAUAUGAAAAUGCUCGGGUAACCCUGCCACAAACAAUAAAAUAUCUGUGGAUGUAGCACAGUACAAAGGCCCUACAUUCAACCCCCAGUACAAAAAAAUAAUAAAUAAAUUGAAGAUAUACGAUCUAGAGAUAUCAGUAAUGUAGUAAGGCUGUGGUCCUUGAAAGCUGCUCAUUAAAGAUGUGUGCAGAAGAUGUUCUUUAUGAAUUAAAGAAAAGGAAAACAAACUCAUGCUGUGCUCUGCCAGACAUCCCAGAAAGGAGCCAAAAAGAAGAGAUGGGCAUAGUGACAAUACCUGUAAUCUCAGCUGCUCAAGAGGCUUUCACAUAGAGAUCUCAGGUUUAAGGCCAGUUUGGGCAAUGUGGCAGGACCUUGGGGGCAGAUAGAGGGAUAAGCAUCAAACUUCUAAGGCUUUGGUUUUGCUGGGAAGGGGAGGUUUGUUGGUUGGGGUUUUAUUUUUUUGAGAGGAUCUUGCUGUGUAGUUCAGGCUGGUGUUAAACACUAUGUAGUCUAGGCUAGUGUGGAAUUUAUGGUGAUCCUCCUGUCUCAGCCUCCUGAGUACUGAGAUUAUAGGCAUGUACCACCAUGAUUUUGUUUAUAGUUAUCCCAAACAAAUUUUUUUCACACUUCCAUAGGAUGAGAAAGAGAACACAUGCUAGAUAGCAAAAUGGAAAAAUAUUUAGUACCUAGGACACCCCCAGUACCACAUUACUUUCUGAAGACAUUCCUAAGAAACUACAUAUACUUAAUAUACUUGGAGAAGGCGUAAAGGUAGGGUUCCCACAAGAGAUAACUUUGGAACCAGGCAUGGUGGCAGAGGCCUGAAAUCAUAGCAUUUCAGGAAGCUGAAGCAGGAGGAUCACGAAUUUGAAGUAGGCCUGGGAAUGCACAGGGGGUUCAAGGCCAGUCUGAACUACAUAGACCUUGUUCCUCUCCCCUCAGAAAAACACAGAAAGCAGUGACUUUAGAAAUACUUGGUAGAAAAGUGAGGAAUUGGGAAGUGGACAGAGGAGGACAGGGGCAUUCCAAGUGAAGGAAUAAUAGGAAGAGAAAAAAAAAAAGGUGAGUAGUUGAUUAGUUGAUGUUUACGUGGAGAAAGAACUUUGAAGUGACCAGACAGCAAGGAAUGUUGCUGGAGAUGCAGCGGUGGAAGCAAGCCCAGAAGCUCCGGAGAGGCAGGCCAGAGCCUUCAUUCACUGAGUGUCUACCUGCUUCGAGGUCAGGACUGAAAAUAAGAGAUGAUGAACUCCACAAGCGAGCGAGACUCGUCUGGUCUGCGGGACUCGGGGGUGAGCUCUGCAAGGGCCUCACAGGCACCCACCCCCAACUCCAACUCAGAUUUUGCAAAUGAGUAAGGAGCCAGGUAUAGGACUCAACUAAAGAUAAAACCUUUGCCAGGGGAAGAGUGAGACAAGGCCAAUUAGCAUGGACAUUUCCAAACCCUCACCCUGCCUGGCCACGUGGUCCCCAGCCCUGCCCACGCCUCCUUCCAGCUGUUGCCUGGCUCCCUCCCUUAGGACCACCUCUCUGGCAGGGACCUGUUCCUUCUCCUGGCAGCUGAAAAGGGGAAGAUGUUACCUAUUUUUAUUUAUUUAUAUUGAUUUCACUACUGAGUAUUGAACCCAGGGGCUUUGCACUGAGCUACAUCCCCAGCCGCCCUCCCUACCCUUUCUUUUUUUUGUAGUUUGAGACUCGGUCUCUGUAGUUCAGGCCACCUUGAGCUCACUUGGUAGCUCAGGCUGGUCUCAAACUCACAGUGAUCCUGCCUCGGUGUCCUGAGUACUGGGAUUACAGGCAUGUGUCACCAUGCCCAGUUUAAAUGCAAUUUUUUUUUUUUUUUUUUUUGUACCAGGGAUCAAACUCACAACCUUGCACUUGCCAGGCAGGCGUUUUAGCCACUUAAGCUACUGAACUAAAUCCCCAGCCAUUUUUUCCAAUUUUUGAGACAGAGUCUCACUAAGUUGCUAAAUUGCCCAGGCUGAGCCCAACUUGUGAUCCUCCUAUCUCAGCCUCCAGUGUUAGGACUGCAGGCAUAUACCACCAUGCCUGGUUCUACUGGUGUCUGUCUGUUUGUUUGUUUGUUUGUUUGAGACAGGGUCUUGCUGUGUAGCUCAGGCUGUUUUCAAACUCACUAUACUACUGGUGACUUUCUGUAGCAUUCAGACAGCAUUUUCCCCAGGACAGUGUUAUAAAUAGUGGGAGGAUUUAUAAUCCAGAACUCGUUCGUUCACAAGGGCCACAGUACAUGGCAAACUGAGCAAAAUUCACAAAAAUAUUUUGGAGGGCCGGGGGGGGGGGGUAUAGCUCAGUGGUAGCACACUUACAGAAAAUGUGAGGGCCUGGUCCAGUCCCCAGUCCAGAAGUGCUGGGCAGGGGGACACCUGUUCAUGCUGGGAAACUCCCCACCUUGUGUUUUGGGAUUGUGACCGACUGUGGAUUCAAAAGAAUCAGAAGCAGCUUGGUGCAGGAGAAAGGCUCUUAUGCUUAGGCUUGGGAGGAAGUGAAAAGCCUGCAGAGGACAGAAAUCCCAGGCUCACCUUUCAGGGCAGGGACUGACUGCUCCUGAAGUCCCCCCUAGAGAUGGAGUCCCACUGUGUGGAACUCUUCCUCCUCUGUCUCUGCAGCACAUAGCCUUCUUUUUUUCUUUGUCACAUGCAUCUCAUUAGUAGUUUUUUUCCCCCCCAGUGCUAGGGGUUAGACCUCAAGGCAUUACACUGAGCUACAUCCCCGGCCCUUUUUUAUUUUAAUGUCUUUUUUUGUUUUGUGAUACUGUACAUUAAACCCAGAAUCUCCUACUGAGUUAUAUCCCCAGCCUUUUUUGCUUUUAAAACUUUAUUUAAUUUUGUCUUUUUGAGACAGGGUUUCACUAUGCAGUUCACUCUUGGUGGCCGUCCUGCCCCACCCUCCUGAUUGAAGGAACUGUGGCAUGUGCCACCAUACCUGGCCUUUGAUUUCUGUUUUUGAGACAGGACUCUAAAUUUCCUGUGCUGGGUUUGAAUUUGAGAUUGUCCUGCUUUACCCUCACCAAAUCCUGCGGUUACACGGCCACUAUGCCCAACUCAUUACCAUUUUGAGUCUCGACCAGGUCAGUGUGAUUUUUACACAAAUAAAGUUAAAAAAAAAAAAAAAAAGUAAGCCAGCUAUGGAAUUACUGGCCUCUAAGGCCAGUACAUGGGAAAGAGAGUGAGAGCUUGUCUCGAAACCACAAAGGAAAAAAGAAAAUUAAAGGUGACGGACCCUAACUGUAAGAGCCAUACCAUAUAAAAGGGCUGUUACUCCGCUGCUGUGCCAGAGACUCUUAACUAUGUGGAAGUACAGAUAACCACAGUGACCAUCGUUCCCAUGCAUUUGUCCCUUACCACUUGGAACAGGCAGAUCACUCCCCUGCCUGAGAGGAUCUGUUUUGAAUGAUCUGGGUGUUCUGGCUCUGCCUUGCAGGCAUUGCUGUGGACCUCAUUGUCCGUGAAGGCUGACUGAUUUCCCACCCUCCUCCUCUGCUGUGUUACGGGAAGGCCAUCGCCUGUCAGGCUGGUGCACUUCUUCAGGCCCACCUUGAAUUCACUUUGUAGCCAAGGCUGACCUCAAACUCACAGCAGUCCUCCUGCCUCAGCCUCCCAAAUGCUGGGAUUACAGGCAUAAGGCUGGUGCACUUUUAACUCCGUUUCCUGGUGUGCUUGUGAACCCUACUUAGCUGGCUCAGCAUCAUGUAAGAAGCAACAGCUGGAGAUACUGGGAGCUGGAAGGUUUUCUUUUUUUUCUCCAGUGAACCCAGGGUCUUCACAUUGAGCUACAUCUCCAGUUCUUUUACUCUUUUUCAUUUUUAAUCUUUAUUAUGAAACAAGAUCUUGCUAAAUUGCCUUGAAUUUGUAAUCCUCUUGACUCAGCCCCCAAGUAGCUAGGAUUCCAGGAGCACACCGCCACACCCUGGCCCACUUGCCCAAUACAGUGCUUUAAAAAUGUAACAAAAGACCAGAGACUCAGGGUGCAGAUGUGUAUACCUGUAAUUCCAGCAUUCUUGAGGCACAAGCCAGGAAGUGUAUGAGUUCAGAGCUAGGCUGGGCAAUGUACUGAGACCCUGUUUCAAAACAUACACACACACACACACACACACACACAGAUUCACAGACCUAUGAGUUGCUAAAGGAGAAACAGUCUAAGCGUUUUGAUCUAAUGUGUGUUAUACUCUUAAGCAUGAACUGGGCUUUCAUCAAAUUCUUCAUUAAAUAAAAGUUGCAGUUCACUGUGUUAGACGGAGACCCUGCCAUCAGCCCCCACAGCUCAGCCUGAGAACUGAUGUCAUGCUGCCGUUCCACCAGAAGAGCCGAAAUCCUCCGACCUUCCUGGAAAUCAGGAGGAACACUGGUCAGAUUUCCCAAUCAAGCCCGAGGGAGUCACCAUGCUAAUGAUGGUGCCUGUGCUUCAGUCCUUACAAAGCAAACGCAAUCAGCUGCUUUUCUGUUUUUCUGUGUACCCUAGCCUGGCGUGUUGUUGUAAGGAAGGUCUUUUUGAAAUGAUCAAACUGCUUUUGUUCUUUGUUUCUCUUUUCUCCAUCCCUUUUCUAUCUGUAAAACCAAUCUCCUCGGGCAGGGGAUGUAGCUCAUGGUGGAUGCUUCUCUAACAUAGGGAAAGUCCUGGAUCUGAUUCCCGAGGCUACAAAAAAGAAAAACUCUGCUUAGCCUAUGGGAACACUUAUUCUGGUUGUUUUGUUUUGUUUUGUUUAGACGAAUAGCUGUGUUGCUGGCCUUAAACUAUGUAGUCCAGCUGGCCUUGAAUUCAGUGAUCCUACCUCUGCCUCCCAACAAGUGGGAUUACAGCUGUGUGGCACCACACCCGGUUUUUAACCCCUUUUAGAUGGUCAGUGGUUAGGUUUUGAAGAAUGUGCUUCCUGACUUUUGUAUGAAAGAAACAACCACAAUAGGAUGUGUAUUAGAACUAUCCCCACCCAGGCAUGGUGAUACACACAUGUAAACCCAGAGCUCAGGAGGCUGAGGCAGGAGGAUAACCUUGGGUCUGAGGCCCACCUGGAUUACAUACUGAGUUACAUAGCCUGAAUUACAAAGUGAGACCUUGUCUCAAACAAAACAAAAAUACAAAAAACAACUGGCCCCAAAACCAUGCUGUUUUCUCCAGUCUCUGCCUCUCAAUAUGUUGCAUGGUCAUUUUCCAGGCUUAAGCCAAAACAGGAAGUGAGUGUCCUUGAUCCACUGUGCACACACACACACACACACACACUUAGGGCUGGGGGCUGAACCCAACAGCUCGGCUCUGAGCCACAUUUUUCGUAUCUUUUAUUUUGAGACAAGGUGUCCCAGACCGGGCUCAAAAUUUCAGUCCUCCUGCAUCAGCCUUCCCGCAGUGCUGAGAUUACAGGAGUAAACCUGUUCCUCUCUUCUUAUAAGGGCAACGUCAGGUAACUCUCUGCGUCCUUGUCCUUGGAGGACCCUUCUCCAAAUACUGAGCCAUAUAGAGGUUAGUGAGGCAGAAGACUGCGUGUGGCCAGCAGGCUGGGCAAUGAGCUGGACUCAAGCGCAAAACAGUGGCUUCCAAGCUCUGCACUUGAAGCUAAUCAGAAAAUGCUGUCUUCAUUCCUCUGGUGUGGCAUCAAGCAGGUUUUUGAUAGGACAGAGAGAAACAGUGCCAUUACAAUCUUUGCUUCUGUAGCCAAUCAUAAGUCUUAGCUGGUGUUUAGAACUACCUUCCUCUGUUACUCACUCUGUGUUCCCUUGGCCCUCAGCGAGCACCUCAGCAGGUCUUGGUUCUUUCCCUGAUGGAAUGACCCACACCUUCAUUCCUGAAGGCUCUGGGCCAUUUGUCAUUCUGCCUGGAUUAAAUUGUUGUAGGUUCCCAUUGAUUUUAGUAGCAAGGCACAGUAGCCGUACGUGUGGCACAUGCCUAUAAUCCCAACACUGAGGAGGCUGAGGCAGGAGGAUCACUGCCAGUUCAAGGCCAAAACCUGUGCUACAAACUACAUAGUGAGUUCAAGGCCAGCCUGCACUACAUACUGAGACCCUGUUUUAAAGAAAAAAGGAGGGGCUGGGGAUUUAGCUCAGCGGCAUAAGCACCUGCCUUGCAAGCAGGCAGUCGUGAGUUCGAUCCCUGGUACCGAUAAAAAGGAAAAAGAAAAAAAAAAAAAGAAAAAGAAAAAAGGAGUGGGGGGCAACCAACUUGGGACCCUCCUGUCUCUCAGGGGCUGUUUUUGUUCCCAUUGUUUUCUCCAGUAAAUUUUCAUACUUUUAACCUCCAUUGUUCUUUAGAACUCAGUCUCUGACACGGGGAACAAGAACUUGAUGUAUUUGACAUCUAGCAUUUCCUCUUAGCACUCAGAGGCUGGGAAGGUGCCUGAUAAAGACCCGUAUUGCCCAUGUUCCUUUUUGGAAUGAGUAACCUGAUUGCGUUAAAUCCAUCAAUCACUUUCCUAGUUAUGUACUACAAACAUGUUUACCAACAAAAAUUUAAAAAAAAAAAAAAAAGGGUUUUGGUACUGGGGCUCGAACUCAGGCCCUUGCUCUUGGUAGACAGGCAUUUGUGCUGCUGAGCUAUAUCCCCAGCCCCAAAAAGCUUUAAAAGAUUAAAACAAAUAAGAAAACCAGGGCACUGUAAUGCUAGGAGCGCCCUACGUAGUCCCCUGCACCCAUGCUCUUCCUGUCCUCCGUUCUGGAGUGAUGGUCCGAUUUCCCCUUGAUAUCUCAGUCAAUUACUGCUGACAACACUGCGACUUCCUUUUUUAGCCUGUUUCUUCAGAGGCAUUGGGAAACCAAAAUGACCAGGGGGAAGUCGUAGCUUCCACUGCAAUGACAUCCUUUUGCUUCCGGUACAAGCCUUCCCCUCUCUGAACUAAGACUUCUCACCCAGAAGAAAAUAAGGUCAGAAGAACAGGAAGUGAGAAUCUGCUAGUGAACCCCUAGGGGUAAAGUUGAGUGGUACCGUUCCUGCUUCCACCCCUUGAUUCCUGGACCCGCGCAUCCUGGCUAGAGGAGACACAGUACCAUAGAGUGGAGGCUGAGUUGAAGAACAUUGGCCCAGCCCUACAAGCUCUUGCCACCUAGCUAGUGCUGGAACUGUCUACAAAAGACCAGUCUCCUUCCUAUUCAACCAGCCGCUUCUGCAUGGUAAGGGACUUGGUCAUACCAGUGAUUUCUGUGAGCAUGAGGCCAUCACUUCACCUCUUUGACCGUAAUAUGUGUUCCUUGCUCAGAGGCUGGAGUGGAUUAACUAAUGUUCAUCUUGUAACAUGCAGCUGAACUGAGCUGUGGAUCUUGCCCACAGCAUAAAAGGAGAACAAGAGGGGAAGAUGGUGCAUUGUUGAUUGUCCUGGAGAAGUUUGUCACACUGGCUUUCCUGACAUGAACUCGGCUGUUCUCAUCAUCAUAGGAGCUUGGGUCCUCACUGUCGCUGAGGAUGGCUGUGGUUCUUUUCAGGGGAGCUCUGGUCCUGAUUGCAUCACUUCCUGGCUCCAGGGCAGACUCUCAGCCUGCUGGCAUAGACCUUCUAGGUUCUACUACUGACCUUUGGGCCUUUCUGGUGCAGAUCCUUGAUACAGAUUUGUAUGAGACAUUGUCAUGGAACUCUAGGCCUCCAGCUAGACUCAUGGCGAGCAUUGCCAUGGUCUCUAGGUCUUUAGCUGGUCUUGUGCAGAACAUUCCUGUGGGCUCUAGGCCACAGCUGGAUUCUGUAGGGUGUGGACAGAUCUCUGCACCCUCUUGCAUUUGACUCUUUGAGUGAAUAUUAUAAAAUGAUCCUAUCAAUUAUGUGUCCCAUGUUAUACCUUUUCCCAUGCACACCUUGACUACAGCAGAGGCAAUGCUGUGUGGCAUUGCUUGACAGUGGAUAAGGCAUUCUGGACUGUAAUGCUGCAGCUCCCCUCACAGGUGAUGCCUGCAUAAUGUGCAGAACCAUCCGAAAACUAGGCCCUAACCUUCCCUUCUUCUGACAGCUGAUCAUGUGGUACACCCCACAGAUGCAUGCUGGGAAGCAGAAGACAAUAUGGUAGGAGCAGAAGCCCUGGGCACCUGGGCAACUUCUUCAUGUAAUUAUACCCUCUGGACCUGCCCUGGCCCAAUCACAUGUGUACCAUUUCCAUUUAGUGUUAGACUGUUGCUGUGGGCAUCCAGCCUUAUGACUCAGUGGAUCAGAUAAUACCCAUGGUGAGGGUGACCUGGUGUCCCGUUGUCAAGCAUUCAGUUUCUUCUAAGGCCCAGUAACAAAUCAAGAGCUGUGUUUCAAAGAGAGAGCAGUCAUCUGCAGAUGAUAGGAGAACCUUGCUCCAAAAUCCUAAAGGCCUCUGCUGCGAUUCACCUCUGCUGGAGACUCUAAACAGCAUCUCUGCCUGCCCCUGAUGCUUCAAAUACCACUGGAUCUGCUGGGUCAUAAGGUCCCAGUGGGAGAGCAGCCCACACAACAGCCUGGACCUGUUGCAGAGCCUUGUCCUGGGCCCCACUUAAAAAAAAGACACGAGUGAGGAAUGUGUUGCCUCCAAACUCCAAAUAGGCCCACUAUGCAUUGUGCCUGUUUUUUUGGUUGUAGGGAGAGCCACGUCCUUAGAGGAGACAUCUCUGCAUGCCCCACUCCCAGUACCAAAAUCAGUAUCAGCCAGUGUUCACUAGAGAAACAGACAACACAAGACACAUGGAUAUAUAAGAAUUCAGAAGAUUGGCUUGCGGUGGUCGCCCACGAAGUUCGAUGAGGGAUAGCGCAGAGGGUGUCUGCACGCUGGAGACAGAAGGACCGAGUCAAGGGUCUGGAGCUCACUGCUGUGUCCUGUGUGUGUCAGUGUCGGGAGGCUGAUGGGUCUGCCACGGAAGCCAAAGAGUCUGCGCUGGAAGCCAGGAGAUGACAUUCAUGGUGAAGUCGAAGACUGGGGCUCCACUGAAGAAACAGAAGCAAAUUCAUCUUCUAAUUUUCCCUGUACACCGUCUGGGCACUGGGCCGCCCUAGGGUGGGUCUUCUGCACCCUAGGAUGUGGAAGUGCUGAGCAGGUUUAGCUGAGCUCCUCCCACUCACGUUGACACAGUCCACCACCACUGAUCUUCUCAUGUUGUUAACACUUGGAAGAUUAACCCCUUGAUUGUAUUUAUUGGUUGCUGUGUAACAAUUUCUCAUAAAUGUACACCUCAUUACAGUAAACAACAGUUUCGAUGGGAUGCUGUGUGAGGAAUCCAAGCAGUGGUCUUCAGGGGCUCACAUAGGCUGUAUCGCUGGUGUCAGAAGUGAAAGGUCAGCUGUAGAAGGCUCCAUCUCACACUGGUACUUGUUGUUCUAGGGAUCAAACUCACAGCCUUGCAUAUGUUAGCCAAGCACCGAGCUACACCCAGCCCCUCUUCUCAGUCUUUAAAUGUCAUCUUUAGCUCACCAGGCACCACAAUGGACACCUGUAGUCUCAGGUGACCUGAAGGCUGAGGUGGGAAGAUCACUUGAGCCCGCAAGUUUGAGACCAACGUUUGAGACCAUGGCAAGACCUCAUAUUUAAAAAAAUAAAACUAAGUAAAGUACAGUGUAAGACAGAGAUCAGGAUGAGUUGUGGGGUGGUAGAUAUUGAACUCAGGAACUUGCACACAUGUGAAUCUCCAACUGACCUGCAUCAUAUAUUGAAAAGACCUAUUAUAAAUCAGUUUCAAAUACUUAGUUUCCUGUGGUUUCUGCCUUUUUAGGCUUAUUCUGCAGUUCAAGCUGGCCGCGAACUUGCAGCAAUCCUUGUACCUCAGCCUCCUGAAUGCUGGGAUAUCAGGUGUGUGCCACCAUGCCCAGCUUUCUCCCCAUUUUCUAAACUUGAUUCACCAGACUUCUUCAUGAUUGCAUCAGCUACUCAAGAGUUUCAGUAAACUCUUAACCAAAAUGUUCUCGGUUGUUUCCUGUUACUUGCAGCUCAGAACCUGACACACAGAGACAUUUGGCCAUAUUUGCAUGGGACACAGACUUCUUGCACUUACCUGUCCAUGAGUAUGUAUGUUGAAGAGCAGCAAGGCACAGUCGUCUGUGCUCUUUUCUAUCCUGACUUGAUUAGAGAGCUCACCUAGUCUCUAGUGUAUAAACACCAACUCUAAAUGGGUGAUUCCCCUAUGUCUUAAGUCACUUUCUUCUCUGUGAGACAAAAUACUAAACACCCACAACUUAAAGGUUUGUUUUGACUCACAGGUCCAGUGGGCUCAGUCCAUGGUUAGCUGGUUUGGGGCAGAAAAGUUAUAGUGGAAGGGCCCAGCGGCAAAAGAAAGCUGCUCCCGUCAUGGUGGCCAGCAGAGAGAGAGAGAAGGGAGGAUCCAGGGACAAGAAUACCCUUUUAAGUCAUGCCCACAGUGAUCUGCCCCCUCUAACCAGGCCCUGCCUCCAAAUAUAAAAAUUGGGGAUAGGAGACAUUUGACUUUUAAUUAAUUAAUGUUUUCUUUUACUCUUUGAGACAGAGUCUCAUUAUAUAGUCCAGGCUGACCUUGAACUCAUGGCAAUCCUCCUACCUCAGCCUCUUGACUCCCUGGGAUUACAGGUGUGCACCACCAUGCCUGGCUAUUUUAUUUAUUUAAAUUUUUUUUAGUUUCUUUGAGAUAGGGUAUCAUUGUGUAGGUCAGGCCAGUCUGGAACUCACUAUGUAAACCAGGCUGGCCUUGAAUUCCCAGUGACCCUCCUGCUACAGCCUCCCAAGUGCUGGGAUUCCAGGCUCUGUUAUUCAGUGUAUUUGCCAGGAUCAUGAACUCAUCUCUGUUACACAGUCAACAAAUCUGGUCCUUGGUUUUCAUCUCAGUGAAGGGCAUUUCUUCAUCUAGCAGCUUGGGUCACAAACUUCACAGCAACUUGUUCCUCUCCUUUUCUGGACCACAACAGCUAACCUAUUAGCAAGUUCUUAACUCUUUCCCCAUCAAAUCCAAUGUGAAUCUUACCACUUCUCAUCACCUCUCCCCGGCUUCUUUAGGGACAGAUGGCAUCAAUGUCCAGGGGCUACUAUUGUAGCUUCCACUCUGCCCUGUGAUUGGAACUGUAGCUGGAACGGCUUUCUAAACCAAAUCACGCAUUUUUACUGCUAGAGACGUGUUCUUCCCUAUGAAUAAAGCAUCAGAUCCAGUUCCUCUCCCAUGGUCCAUAAGGUCAUAUGUGACCCACCCUCUACUUUUUAUCCUUGUUCUGUCUCUCUCUUUGUUGCUUUCCUUUAUGAUACUGGGGAGAUUGAGCUUAGUACCUUUACAUUCAAUUGCAUUUUUAGUCAAUUUUUUAAAUUUUGAGAUGGGCCUUUCUAAGUCAUUAAAUCAUCCAUGCUGGGUUCACGCCUAUAAUUCCAGGAUUUGGAGGCUGAGGCAGGAGGAUCACUGAGAUUUCAAGGUCUGCCCAGGUUACAUAGUGAGUUCAAGGCCAGUCUGAACUACAUGGCAAGAUUCUGCCUCAAAAAAACAAAAGAUCAGCCUGAACUACAAAGUGAGAUCUUGUCUCAAAAAAAAAAAAAAAAAAAAAAAAAGGAGUUGUGAGAGCUCUGGAAUUACCAACUGGGUAAUCAGAAGAGGCAAUGCCACCAACCUUCUGCCACCUACAUCAUCUGUCUACCACGGUUUCUAACAGUCUUCCAGGCUACAACACAGGGCAAAAAUGACUUUUCACAUUAGCAGCUCGUGUUACCUGGGUGUAGACACUACACAAUGGCAAAAAUUUUACUAUAGAGACUUCAGGAGAACAUGGCGGAUAGAUAACAGCAGCUAUGGAGGCUCUCUGAGAUAGCCAGCUUAGAAUCCAGGAAUGGUGCGGUGUGAGGAGUCCUAAGCAAGGGGAGAUACACCCUGCCGACCCAGGAACGAACUAAGCUGAGAGAAACCAACCGGAAAUGCAGUCCCGGUGCUAUAACUGGAACAGAUAAAAUCUCAGUGCUGAAGCUGAAACCCGCACCUCUGGAAACCACAAUUUGAAUUUCCUGCCACCACUGCUGCGUCUGAAUCCACAUAACAGGAAUAGAAACGCAAAAGCUCUGAGAGUGGGAAUCGGCAAAUGGAGUUGAAAGUGGGACUGGCGGGGAGCCCUGCAUCAACCUGUGGUGAGUGAGAGGAACAGGAACCCUUCCUAGACUAGCAGGCUCCAACAGAGGACAUUCUGGGACCGGACAGACUAGCGGGAACAGGAUGCUGCAAUGACUUUAGUUGCAUAUUCCCCUCUCAAGUGGGAUUGGUGGGGAGCACUUGGCCUGGGUGACGCUGUGGACUAAUACCCAGUAGGCUAGCCCAAACCAGGUCCCAAUGCCUGGCAGUGCACCCUGGCAGUGAAGCCUUCAGUAGGUUGACCUGGAGGGGCGGGCCCAGCAGAGGCCUCCCAGGUCUGUGACUCCCUAGUACAAUGCAGUGGGCGGGAACACCUAGCCAGCGCGAUUCAAACAAACUGUAACCGGCAAAGAAAGAAACUGGGCCUCCUAUAUACGCCUUUAUGGAAAGAACAAAAAAUAUGACAAGAGGAGGUAACAAGAAAGGGUCCUCAGCCCCCAAUUCUGAGAACACUGAUCCAGGAAAGGUAAAUGCAAAGGAGAAUGAGGACAGAAAACAUGCAAUAUCAGGCACAACACCAAUAGACAUAAAUCUGUAUCUCCGGAGCCUCAUAGACAAGUUCAAAAGUGAAGUAUUUAAUGAAGUAAAGCAAGAUAUAAGUAGAAUAGUUAGAGAAAUGCUAAGCACCACCCAAGAAAAAACAGAUGGUGGAAUGGAAGAACAGAAAAAAAGGGGAGAAUUGUUUGAUGGAGAAAAUAGAGAAAACAGAAUACAUGAAGCAGGCUCAAAGAGAUUACCAAGAAACUAAAAACUAUUGAAAGCUGGCAUAACAGCUUGAAAGAAACUAAGGAUAGAUUAUCUGGACUGGAGGACAGAUUUGUAAGGUGGGAGCAUGGAAUGAAAAACGUCUUUAAAAUAAUAAGGAAACAAACAGCAAUAAUACAAAGACUAGAAGAUGAUAAGAGGAUCUAUAACUUAAGAAUUAAGAACAUAAAAAAAGAAGUAGGGACACAAACAAAUGAACUACAAAGGCUAUUCACAGAAAUAAUCCAGGAGAAUUUCCCUAAUUUAGCAAAAGGUAAAGAUACUCAGAUGUAUGAGGCAUACAGGACUCCAGCCACCUACAACCCAAACAUAGCUACACUCAGGCAGAUAAUCAAAAUUCCAGAAAUCCAAUAUAAGAACAGAAUAUUAAAAGCCAUCAGAGACAAGAAACAGAUCACUUACAAAGGAACACCCAUCAGAAUUAUAGCAGACUUCUUGGCACAAACCAUCAAAUCACAGAGAGCGUGGGGGGAAAUAAUUCAAGCUUUGAAAGAUAAUAACUUCCAGCCAAGAUUGAUAUAUCCUGCACAAACUGUCCCUAGAAAUUGAUGGAAAAACAAGGUGCUUCCAGGAUAAAGAGGAACUAGGGGAAUUUGCAACCACCAAUUCAACUCUACAGAGAUUACUGCAGGAUAUUCUAAAAAAGAAAAAUACCAAGAUUCCAGAAAUAGUGGCAGAGAGGCCACAAUGAAUGGAGCAGAAAGCAAAAUGAAGAAGACAAACUGACAACUAAUGACAGAAAAAGAGCUCAACAGAAAUGAGGCAGAGAAGGUUGGACGGUAAGAACAGCUAUUUUGGAGAAAGCAAGACAUCAUAAUAGCUAGUGCUGAUUUAAUAUCAUCUUGUUUUGAAGUCCCGUCAAGCUUUUGUUCUUCUGUCUCCGUCAGUCUUAACAUGUUGUACCUUAUUGGAUUUUAUUAUAUGUGAUAAUAUAAACAAAAACUUUUAUAGACAAGGAGAUUAUACAGAAACCAUUGUUCAUUUUCUGUUAGUUGAUUCUAAAUACCCUGUAAUACUGUCAUUCUCUUGAAUGGUUUUACGUUGUCUUGAUAUGUUUGAUGCUACAGUACAUGAACUUAUACUCAAAGAUUUCUAGAAAAGAGACACUAUGAUAACUACUUUUAUGUUGGGAUAUCUUGUGGUGAAACACUAUUUUGCUUAAAUGGUUAUGUUUGGACCUGUGCUGUUUUGUUGUUAUGUUCUCUUUUAUCUCAAUCUCCUUUUUUUAUUAUUUACUUUUUUAUUUUUAUCUUUUUAAUUAAGGAAAAAAUAAAAAAUAUCAGGAUAUAUUAUAGUAACCCACUUUGAUUUCCUAUUAACUUGAUUUGAAACCCUGUAUUGCUCUCACCAUCUUGUUUUGACUGAAUUUCCUCUAUUCUGUUUUGCUUGAUAGUACCAAGUUUCAGAGUAUAGGCAACUGUGAAGACAAUAAGAUUCAUUAUGAUGCCCAUUCUGGUUUGACUAUUAUCUUCUUUUGAAGUUCUGUAAUGUCUCCAAUGUUUUGGUUUUAUUGGUUUUAUUCUUUACUGUUUGGUUCAAUUUUAUUAUAACUGAUGAUAUAGGCAAUUCUUUUUAAGAUAGCAAAAGGCAUUAUGGUAACCAUUGUUGAUCACCUUGUAUUUUGUUUUUACAGUAUGUAUUAUGUCCAUCCUUUUGAUUUGACUGUUUUGUUAUGUCACAUUUGCUUUUAUUCUCUUCAAAAAAAGUAAUAAAAACUGUGGAAGUAAUAAAACCCAAAAUGUGUAAUGUCAUUGUAUAAAAGAGAGGAAAAGAAAGUGCUCUAAACGAUGUAACUGCAUGUAUAUUUAAGUGUAUACGAUAGAUAACCAUAUUACUGAGUUUUUUGGAUCAUUGAACUGUUUGCAGUCUCACUGUUUGAAAGUCCCCUCUAUAUGCUUUAAUUUUGUAACUUGCACAACUAUUUCUAAGAUGACAAUAUGUAAUCUAUUAAUCCUACUGCUUAUUUUUUCUGUAAUUCUGUAAACUUGUACCCUUUUUCUGUUUUUUUUUUCCCUUUUUCUCCUUAAAUAAAAAAUUUUUUAAAUUUACUACAGAAACCCAUCAAAAUAGGGUUAAAGGCCGGCAUUUAGCUCAGCAGCACAAGCACCUGCUUUGCAAGCACGAGGUCAUGAGUUUGAUCCCUGGUACCAAAACAAAACAGAAACAAACAAACAAAAUAGUGUUAAAGAUUUAAAAGAAAAAAUGUAAUUUCUAAUUAUUUGGGAGGUGCUGAGAGUUGAACUUAGGGACUCACACUAGCUGGGCAGGUGUGUUGCCACAGAGCUACACCCCAGACCCAUCUGCUGAACUCUCACUUAUAGAAGCCUAGUAAAAUUAACCAUGUUUGCUAAACUUUUGUCCGCAUUCAGACCCAAAAUAAUGUAGAGCAGCUGGCCUCUGUGGCACGGGCCUGGAAUCUCAGAACCUUGGAAGGCGGAGCCAAGAGCAGCUAAGCUCCAGGCCAGCCUAAGACAUUUAGCUAGACUUUGUCUCAGAAUGAACUAGAAAGGCCUGGGAUCCAGGCAUCCUGGUGUACCGGUCUGUAUCCCAGCACUCUGAGAGGUUUGCCGAGUUUGAGCUGAGUAUGGACAGUGUUUAGAGAGAUCUUGCGUCAAAGAAAAAAAGCGAGUACUUGUUUAAAAAAAUUAAAACGGUUGGGAAACACAGAUCAGUGAGAGGAACAGGGUUUAAUCCCAAUCCAAAAAAAAGCACAGUUGAAAAUAAUGAGUACAGUUAAGUGGGUAAAAGUGAUGUGCCAGGACGUUCAGAGAUGUAGUAAAGUACACAAGACUGUCCCUGUUGCUCCUCGUCUUACCCUCUGGGCCCCACCCCAUGGCUGUGACCACGCCCUUCCAGCCCCGCCCACAGCGAAGGUCCCCGCCCACUGCCCCCCUUCACCCCACCACCAGGGCCCACUACGAGGAGAUCUGACAUCCAGCGCUCAGCCCCUCGGGGACACAGAAGAGCCUUCCUUCCCAGGCCUGGCGGGCUGGAUACGCUGCCUGCCCGAGCAGCUGGUAGACAGGCACAUGCAGCAGGGCUUCCGCUUCAGGCUGCUGUGCAUCGGGGAGACGGGCCUGAGCAAGUCCACGCUGUUGGCCCUGCUCUUCAACGGCCCACCCGACAGCGCCCGCGUCUCGCACUUCUGCCCCGCUGACGAUGUCACAGGAAGAAGUGGGAGCUGAAGCAGGCGUUCGCCAGGCGGGUGAAGGAGGAGGAGGCUGUGCUGAAGCAGGCCAAGGGGCAGCUGCAGGCCAGCUUCGAGCACCUGGAGCGCUUGCAGCACAAGGAGACCCUGAGACUGGAGGAGAGGAGGCGAGCCUUGGAGGAGGAAAUGCUGGCGUUCUCCAGGAGGAAGGCCAUCUCGGAGCUGUCCCGAGGCCGGAUGUUGGGUACCAGCAAGAAAAAUGUCAAGGACCCUGCGGAGGAGCCAAGCUAUCGAUUCGAAAUUCUGUGCUUUGACAUCUAUGCUUGUAAAAUGUGCCAUGGGCACAAAGAGGUGGAGGAACUGGAGGAGGUGGACAGUUGGAGGAAGCAGCCUUGAGUAGCAAUGGGAAGAAAAUCCACAGCACAUGGUUGUGGGAACAGAACCUAGAAGCUCCAGAGAGCGCCUGGGCUCCACAAACAAGUGUAAUAUUCUAAGUUUGCUUUGAUUUAACAGAAGUAAAAUGGUAUAAAUAUGC